rnacentral:rRNA from 1 species
CUUCCGGUGAUCCUGCCGGACCCGACUGCUAUCAGAGUGGGACUAAGCCAUGCGAGUCGACGUAGCAAUGCGUGGCGAACGGCUCAGUAACACGUAGUCAACAUGCCCAGGGGACGUGGAUAACCUCGGGAAACUGCGGAUAAACCACGAUAGGUCACGAUUUCUGGAAUGGAUCAUGGCCUAAAUCUACAUGGCCCCUGGAUUGGACUGCGGCCGAUCAGGCUGUUGGUGAGGUAAUGGCCCACCAAACCUAUAACCGGUACGGGCUCUGAGAGGAGAAGCCCGGAGAUGGGCACUGAGACAAGGGCCCAGGCCCUAUGGGGCGCAGCAGGCGCGAAACCUCUGCAAUAGGCGAAAGCCUGACAGGGUUACUCUGAGUGAUUUCCGCUAAGGGGAUCUUUUGGCACCUCUAAAAAUGGUGCAGAAUAAGGGGUGGGCAAGUCUGGUGUCAGCCGCCGCGGUAAUACCAGCACCCCGAGUGGUCGGGACGAUUAUUGGGCCUAAAGCAUCCGUAGCCGGUUCUGCAAGUCUUCCGUUAAAUCCAGCCGCUCAACGGAUGGGCCGCGGAGGAUACUACAGGACUAGGAGGCGGGAGAGGCAAGCGGUACUCAGUGGGUAGGGGUAAAAUCCUUUGAUCCAUUGAAGACCACCAGUGGCGAAGGCGGCUUGCCAGAACGCGCUCGACGGUGAGGGAUGAAAGCUGGGGGAGCAAACCGGAUUAGAUACCCGGGUAGUCCCAGCUGUAAACGAUGCAGACUCGGUGAUGGGCUAGCCUUGUGCCAGCCCAGUGCCGCAGGGAAGCCGUUAAGUCUGCCGCCUGGGGAGUACGGUCGCAAGACUGAAACUUAAAGGAAUGGGCGGGGGAGCA